UACGGGGGGAGCAAGCGUUGUUCGGAUUUACUGGGCGUAAAGGGCGCGUAGGCGGCCACCGCAAGUCAAUUGUGAAAUCUCCGGGCUUAACUCGGAAAGGUCAACUGAUACUGCGGGGCUAGAGUGCGGAAGGGGCAACUGGAAUUCUCGGUGUAGCGGUGAAUGCGUAGAGUAUCGAGAGGAACACCUGCGGCGAAGGCGGGUCUCUGGGACGGUACUGACGCUGAGACGCGAAGCGUGGGGAGCGAACAGG
rnacentral:rRNA from 1 species